rnacentral:rRNA from 1 species
CUACGGGGGGCUCCAGUGAGGAAUAUUGCACAAUGGGGGGAACCCUGAUGCAGCAACGCCGCGUGGAGGAUGACGCAUUUCGGUGUGUAAACUCCUUUUAUAUGUCAAGAAAAUGACGGUAGCAUAUGAAUAAGCACCGGCUAACUCCGUGCCAGCAGCCGCGGUAAUACGGAGGGUGCAAGCGUUACUCGGAAUCACUGGGCGUAAAGGACGCGUAGGCGGGUUGGAAAGUCAGGUGUGAAAUCCUACAGCUUAACUGUAGAACUGCACUUGAAACUUCUAAUCUAGAGUAUGGGAGGGGGAGAUGGAAUUAGUGGUGUAGGGGUAAAAUCCGUAGAUAUCACUAGGAAUACCUAAAGCGAAGGCGAUCUCCUGGAACAUUACCGACGCUAAGGAGUGAAAGCGUGGGGAGCAAACAGGAUUAGAUACCCGGGUAGUC